rnacentral:tRNA from 1 species
GAAAAUAGCUCAGCUGGUAGAGCGCCACCUUGCCAAGGUGGAGGUCGCGAGUUCGAAUCUCGUUUUUC